rnacentral:rRNA from 1 species
CACCCGUGUUUAUUGUACCUUGUUGCUUCGGCGGGCCCGCNNNNCNGCCGCCGGGGGGCUCACGCUCCCGGGCCCGCGCCCGCCGAAGACACCCUCGAACUCUGUCUGAAGAUUGUAGUCUGAGUGGAAUUAUAAAUUAUUUAAAACUUUCAACAACGGAUCUCUUGGUUCCGGCAUCGAUGAAGAACGCAGCGAAAUGCGAUACGUAAUGUGAAUUGCAGAAUUCAGUGAAUCAUCGAGUCUUUGAACGCACAUUGCGCCCCCUGGUAUUCCGGGGGGCAUGCCUGUCCGAGCGUCAUUGCUGCCCUCAAGCACGGCUUGUGUGUUGGGCCCCGUCCCCCAAUCCCGGGGGACGGGCCCGAAAGGCAGCGGCGGCACCGCGUCCGGUCCUCGAGCGUAUGGGGCUUUGUCACCCGCUCUGUAGGCCCGGCCGGCGCUUGCCGAUCAACCAAACUUUUAUCCAGGUUGACCUCGGAUCAGGUAGGGAUACCCGCUGAACUUAAGCAUAUCAAUAAGCGGAGG